CCUCCUUCCUUCCUCUCUCUUUCCUUCUUUCUUUCUUUCCUCCCUCCCUCUCUUCUUUCUUUCUCCUCCCUCCCUCCUUUCUUUUCUUUUCCUUCCUUCCCCAAAUCAGAAGUGUUCAAGUGAUGAGUUAGAGCUAAAACCACCCUUUAUCCAUUUUUAAUACUCUGAUCAAGUCUCUUUAUCAUGACAGUGAAGCUAUUGUGGCUGUUUUACUUUAACUGCAGUUAGUGCUGAAACCGUCAUACAGUCUUUUUAGCUACAAUAGUUCAUGAUUGCAGUAUGAUAAGUACAGUUGCCAAAUUCAGCUUUCAAAUGGCCCCAAAUACUACUUUAUGCUACUUUCUUGUUGGAAACCAAGUGGCAAGAAGAAAAGCAGGGACACACUCUAUAGCCCUACACUCAUUUAUCCUAUAGUUCUAAAAUACCCCAGGCCCCAAGCUACAAGAGUGAAAGAAUGUGAAUUGUUUGAUCUAGAAAAUCUGCCACUAUGAUGUUUUAUUUCUAGGAUUAAAAUUCACUGCCUCAUGCUUGCUAGGGAGGAAUUGUACUGCUGGGUCAAACCUGUAGUCCACUUAUGCACUGGGGAUUUUGAAGAUAAUGUUUUGUUUUCUGUCUGAGUAUCUAUCUAGACCAUAAUCUCUAGUCAGGUUUCCUGUCAUAGCUAGAAUGACAGACACAUACCACCACAGCCAGACAUGGGUUGCAUAGGAGUCUCAUGAACUUUUAUGACUGGGCUGGCUUUGAAACACAAUCUUCCCAACCUCAACCUCCCAAACAGAUAGAAAUAGAGGCAGAAGCCACUGGUGCCUGGGUUUUUAUGACUUCUGCUGAAGACAAAGAAUUUUCAUAGAAGUUCUUUGUGCAGUAAGAGUAAUGUGUGUUUGAAAAUUACAUGCUAUGAAAGGUAAAUGAAAAUUUGCAGUUUACAGAUGUUCCAAAUCAUCUGUAAGCAUAAAUGUUUUGAGACUAAGCAUCAUGAGGACCAUUGAUAUUUAUCAAUAAUUCUUAGAUAUUUAAGAAUUGACAAAUUCCACUUCAAUAACAACAUAUUCCCAACAGAGCUAGAUACAAAGAGCACUUUACUGUAGUAGACAGUGGUCACUGGGAGUCAUGUUACCUACUUCAAAUGCUGACACCCAGGUGCUCUCUGUGUGAAAAGGCAAGCUAGAAAUGAAAAUCCCUGCUUCUCUUCUUUCCCAAUUUACCUUCAACAGAGUAUAUAAUUCUAAAGCUUCACAUUUAAAGAUGCAGUCCAGAAGUAAAAUUUCCAAUUUGUACCAGGAUUGAUCUCAUGAUGGUUGGGCAAGCAAAGUGUGAAUUUUCAAAAGAAAAUAGUGUUAUAGGAAAACGGAAUGUGCUUCAGUGCUUCAUUUCCAAAACCAGCCUAGAUGUGUUGGCAGAUUUUGUUUGCAUUUGUCUUGAGUAUUUAAAAUCUCAGGAGAUUUAGUCUUGAUCCAAAACACUGGGGAAGAAACACUAAACAAAACACAUUUUAAUAACUUGAAGUAACAGCAUAGAAUAACCUGAACUGAGAAGCUACAAGAAAAAGGCUAUAGAAUGAAGUUCCUCCUAGAAAGUAAAAGCAAGUUCUACAUAACCACAAAGGGACUUCCUGUGCCUCUGUGAUAGGUCUUUGUAGAAAUUGAGGGAGAAAAUGUUUGUUACUUGAAAGCUCACAUGUGUGAGUGCAAGGCUUGUGACCUAUUUCCAAAUCCUCAGAGUAGAGAAGGAAAGAAACAUGAUGCUUCCCAAUCCUUGGCUUUACCCAACCACCAAACCACUAGGGAUUCAAUAAUGAGUAAGAGGCAAAGAAUAAGACAACAGACAACUUCUCAACAGCAUGCAUGCCACUCGUGUAGAUGUUCAGAACUAUAUCGUGUGAGUAUCUCCCAUCUUACACACAGACAACCACAUGGCAUAAAAUACAUUACAUAUGGAAUUUGAUAAUGCCUAGUGGGAUCCUCAGCUGUAAUCAUAGCCUUAUUGCCACUUUUUGUGUUGUGCAUACUACAAAUGGCACAUAGGUUUUAAGAUAUUUUCUUUCAUUGCUCUUAUUCAAUGCACUUAUCCUUCUACAGGUUUAUAUAUUUUGGCAGAAUUGAUUUAUUAGACACUUGGUAUUUUAGUAAGGUAAGACUUCCUCAAAUGUUUGGUUAAUGUUUUGAUGUCAACAUUACACCUUUUUUAGAGGUCAGGAGAGAUUUUUGCAUUUUCAAUUGCAAACCUAAAUUUUCUUGGCUAAAAAUUGGGCUGUGUCAUUUUGUGUGGGAGCUCACACCUCUGAAAUGACAUAAUCCCUAACUUGGGAUGCUCAAGUUACUAACUACAGGCUCUCUAGUGGUAAUGUUGUCAUCACAUGACCAUUUAUUUACUUCUUGCUUUUAAUAAGGGCAUUUUGAUUGUCACCAAAAAUAAUGCAAAUGGUGUGAGUGUAUGUUGUUGGAAGGUGUACUCUUCUAUUUCUUUCUGCUCUUUUAUUCAUGUAUCUAGAGUUUUCAGUUAAAGAUUGAAUCAUUUAAUCUUUUGUUCAUUCAUGAAAGAACAGCUGGCUAAAAAUACUUAGAAUUACUUAUUAAAAAGUGGGAAGAGGUUCUUCAGAUAGAUAACACCUCCAACAACAUCAAAUUUAGUUAGUGCUUAGUGAAUUUCCUUAACUGUAUAUGUGUAUCUGCUCUCUUCAAUAUUGUUUGAUAGCAUAACAACUGCUUUUGUAUUUUAAUGGAGUUGCGAUUAAACCACUAAUACACCUGCUACAUAUGAUUAAGAAGCCUGGGCAGCUGAAAAAUAAAAGGAGAAUAAAAUUUUAUUCUAUUGUAGGAAUCCAAUUAGUUUUCAUCUUUCUUUAUAUAUCUCUAAAGGAAAAGAGUUGUCUGAAAAUCAUUUUGAAACUGAUAAGUAUGGGUAGCAUGUUAUCUGAAACUUUUAAUUUGUACAUUUUGAUGUCUGAGCAUUUGCAUGGAAGAGACAAUAGUGCCAUGUCUGAAUUGUUCUCUUGUGCUUGGUCAUUAUGAUGUAACAUUGUAAAUCACAUUCUUUACUCUUUGGUUUGGUUUCCAAAGGCAUUCAAAGCAAAAUAUAACAGUGGUCCUUUGUUUUCUGGCCAGUCGAAACAUACCUGUAUUACAUUUAAUUUGUUAGUGUAAAUACAUUUCUUGCCAAUGAGUAUUAUUGUUGUUAGACAACGAAUGCAAUAAAAAGAGAAAUACA